rnacentral:rRNA from 1 species
AUGUCAGGGCUUGCCGAUGUUAACGACAAGCUUUUCUUCCCAAUUGAAAGUGCUUUACAACCCUAGGGCCUUCUCCACACACGCGGCAUGGCUGCGUCAGGGUUGCCCCCCAUUGCGCAAUAUUCCC